UGCUUCUCUUCCCAUUCUUGAGGAAAUCUUAAAACUAAAAAAUAAUUUAUUCCAACAACUUUCUAGCAAAUGUCUCUGGAAGGCUGAGCCAAGAUGUCGGAAUAAGGAAGGAACUUACUGAGUUCUCCCAAAUUAAUCUCCAAACAACUAUUUUUAAAAUGCCUCUAAACAAAUUCUGCAGACAAACAAAAUCAGCAGAACAACAAAAAGAUGAGGCAAAACAAUUUCUUGUCACAAGACUAUAGAAGGUUGGCAAGAAAAGAUCCAUUUCACUGAGGAAGAAGAGUGCUCCAUCCAGCAAACAUCUUUUCUCUCUCCAUCCUUUGGAUAGCAAACACAUCAACAUUAUAAUUUAUUGACUCCUGCUUCCCUAGCCCUUGAUCUGCUGCAACCUGGCUCUGACAUCAUUUCUACUGAAUGGAUCUUUAAAAGUUACCAACCCAGCUAACCUUGCAAUAUCCAACAAUAUCUUGGAGAACAUCAUGGUGAAAGGCACGAGAACAAGCAAGCACACAGUCCUGCUUUAUUUGUCAGUUAUGAAGACUUUUAGAAGAUUACAGUGAAAUAUGCUUGCCCAGAGAUAUUCAUCAGUAUUGUAUACCAGUUCAGUGAUGGCAUGCAGCCUACAGGCUCCUGAAAUGGUUAUGGAGAAAUCUAAUGACAGAGCUUGAUUGAAAAUACACUGGUAUUCAUGCAUUCACGUGACAAUUUUGGCUAACAUGAUGACUACAUAAAAGGAUAAAAACACAAGUUCUUUCCUCGGGAAUGAAAAGAUUGAAUUUGUUACUUAGUCUGGAUAAUUGGAUUUUAUUUCUGUGAAAAUAAUUCAAAGGAAGAUUUCAAGAUAAACCCAAGUGAUUCCCACCCCUCUUCUCCAAACUACUGCAACCACCUCCUCAAAACAGUUGUUAGUCAAUAUACUGAGUCAAGGAUGCUAAAACCAGAGUGAAGAC
rnacentral:lncRNA from 1 species